rnacentral:rRNA from 1 species
CAAUAGCGUAUAUUAAAGUUGUUGCAGUUAGAACGCUCGUAGUCGGAUUUCGGGGCGGGCCGACCGGUCUGCCGAUGGGUAUGCACUGGUCGGCGCGUCCUUCCUUCCGGAGACCGUCCCUACUCUUAACUGAGCGGGGGCAGGAGACGGGACUUUUACUUUGAAAAAAUCAGAGUGUUUCAAGCAGGCAGCUCGCUCUUGCAUGGAUUAGCAUGGGAUAAUGAAAUAGGACUUUGGUGCUAUUUUGUUGGUUUCGAACACCGAAGUAAUGAUGAGAAGGGACAGUCAGGGGCACUCGUAUUCCGCCGAGAGAGGUGAAAUUCUCAGACCAGCGGAAGACGAACCACUGCGAAAGCAUUUGCCAGGGAUGUUUUCACUGA